rnacentral:lncRNA from 1 species
AAAAAAGAUCGUUGGAAAGUAUAGUACUUUUGAUUUUGAUCGAUAUGGAUAUCAUUGUGUUAUUAGUAGAUUCUCUAAGUCUAGUAGAUUUACAAGAUCCCGAAAUAUUUGCAGUACUGCAAAUAAAAAUAUUUUACUUAUUUGAGGAGUUGAUCUCAAUGUAAAAUCAUAGAGCUUAUAUCUUGGUAGAAUUUCUUGUAAAUCUUUGAACCAGAUUAUUAGAUUCUUGCAAGUUAAAUAUUUAUAAAUCAAGGCUAUGAGUUGAUUAUGGAUUUUGUAUCACCAUAUGAGAAAUGCAAGUGGGAUUUCAUGAGAGGCCCAAAUAAGUUUAGCCUAAAAGAAAAGAUUCAGAAUGAUUAAGUAAGCUCCUGAGUAAGUUAAUCUAGAAUCUUUUAAUUAUCGAAGCUUAGAAUAAAUAUCAACUUGUAUAAUGGAAUUGUCAAGGGAAACUAGAAUUGGCUUAGUUCAAAUUUGGAUCUAGAAUAUGAUUACUUGAUUAUAUGAUGGUACAAAUAUGACAACUAUCUCAAGGGUUAAUCAUGACCUAGUGUACUUGGAAAGCAAGGAUAAAAUUUUGCUUGGAUAUUAUAAAAAAAAUGUUGAUGAUCUGGGAUCAUUAAGAAAUUUUGGAGAACAUUGAUCAGAGUUGCGCAGCGAAAGUAUGAUGGAC